CGCCGCGUGAGGGAUGAAGGCCUUCGGUCGUAACCUCUUUUAUCAGGGACGACAAUGACGGUACCUGAUGAAUAAGCCACGGCUAACUACGUGC
rnacentral:rRNA from 1 species